GAGAGCACAGUACGAUGAAAGUUGUGAGCUAUGUUCAGGGGGGUGUUAUUGUCUAUCAUUGGCCUCUAUGGAAGAAUCAGUCGGGGAGGCCUAAGAGAUGGUGUUUUACCCUAU
rfam:Picea glauca, whole genome shotgun sequence.